GAGUUUGAUCCUGGCUCAGGACGAACGCUGGCGGCGUGCUUAACACAUGCAAGUCGAACGGAAAGGCCGGGUGCUUGCACCCGGUACUCGAGUGGCGAACGGGUGAGUAACACGUGGGUGAUCUGCCCUGCACUUCGGGAUAAGCCUGGGAAACUGGGUCUAAUACCGGAUAGGACCACUGGUUGGUACUGGUGGUGGAAAGUUUUUCGGUGCAGGAUGAGCUCGCGGCCUAUCAGCUUGUUGGUGGGGUAAUGGCCUACCAAGGCGGCGACGGGUAGCCGGCCUGAGAGGGUGGACGGCCACAUUGGGACUGAGACACGGCCCAGACUCCUACGGGAGGCAGCAGUGGGGAAUAUUGCACAAUGGGCGCAAGCCUGAUGCAGCGACGCCGCGUGGGGGAUGACGGCCUUCGGGUUGUAAACUCCUUUCAACCAUGACGAAGCUUUUGUGACGGUAGUGGAGAAGAAGCC
rnacentral:rRNA from 1 species